GAAAAAGUAGUUGCUGAGUCAGUUUGUGUGGUCAUGUUUUGUUUUGAGCAAGAAGAUCGACAGUUUGUGACAGAAGAAGGAGGAGCUAAUGAAGAGUAGAAUUGGGCAGCUCUGAUACCAUGAUGGAAGAAUUGUUUUCUACAAUGUUGUUCUUCUAUUUUAUUAAUCAAUCACGCUGUACAUAUAGGUCUACGAGAAACUAAUUCAAGCCUGAUUACAAGGAAAGAUAAGUUACAGAGAAGGAUAAGUUACAGGGAAAGAUAAAGAUAAGUUUAGUUGUUGCUGAAUAUAUGGAAGUUCAACCAUGAAGGACUUGAUCUUCAUUCUGAUAAUGUUGAUCUUCAUUCUGAUAUAUAUCUUCAUUCUUCAAUCUGAUAUAUUCU
rnacentral:lncRNA from 1 species